GGACUGCUUAACAUUUUCUCUCUCUAAACCAAAAAAAAAAAAAAAAAAAAGCGAUACUGCGAUACAGAGAAAGGGAAGGAUAAAAAAAAAGAGGCUUGCAAUCCAGUGGAGAAUCAUGCGAUCAAACGUUCGUCCCAAAGGGUUGUUGUCAAUUUAGGGAUUUGAGAUACGGAGAUAGAGAUCGGCGCAACUCUGUGGCCAACAUAAUCGGAACUAAACACAGACCGACGAAAGUGGGUAUUCUUUGCUUAGUGAUCCCCAGUACAACAAAGGACUUACCAAUGCUUUGGUCAUUCAGUUGACUCCUUACUGCCAGUCUGUACUUGCUGUCAUGCUAGCAAAAACAGGGGUUUCAGCCAAUUUUAACUAUUAUUGGAUUUGAACCAAUGACUUACCGCUUACUAUUCAAGGGGAGGCGGAGCGCUAACAAAGAGAAAGCAUUAUCACUAUUUGAAACUGUUUUCCACCCUACCUGAUCUGCUGUUUUUGAAGAGUGAUUGAAAUUGUAAAACUUUGAAAUCUGAAAGUGUAACGUAUUUUGUUGUUGUAACUUUAUGGUUGCUGGUGUGUGAAUCUUCAUUUAUAAAACAAUGAAUGUGAUUGCUAUUAAAUUGACAAAAAUUGCAUGUAAUUCAUUUAGUAGAUCAUGUUUGGUUGGAGGACACCUCUUA